CAAGGUAUAUAGAGGAUUAAUUAAAUUCUGUAAAACAUUGUAUGUAGGAAUGAGUGUGUGUGUGUGUGUGUGAGAGAGAGAGAGAGAGAGAGAGAGAAUGUGGUCAGUGAACAACAACUAUAUUUAGCAUACUCUUCUUCACACUGGGAUGCACAGGGAAAGAAGAAAGACAUGGUUAUUUCUCUCACUCUGCCUACAGAUUAGUGGGGAAGACACGCUAAAGGGCACGGAUGCUCAUUGGAAUAACAGCCAGAUUUGAUGUGGAAAAGGACCAAAAAGAAAGUGGAGUGAGGAAGAAGCGUUGUUGGUUUGAAGGGACUAAGUGAGGGAGGGUACAAUGAGGAGUCACCAGUCUGCAACCUGGAAGAGGCCCUUCACUAUGCUGACGCCCUAAUCUCAUAUUUCCAGCUUCUAGAACUCUGGGAGUUUGGAAGUCAGGAGUCAGUUGUCCACAGGAACACUUCUGCAAAUCUGUAAUCCCGGUGUAGGAAUCCAUGUUUCACCUUCUUUGUUCCAGAAAUGCAGACAACUCCAUACAG